AUGGCCGCUUAUCACCAAGAAGGGCAGGUGCAGCUGCCGCGAGCUGAUGCCAUUCGUUCACGUGUCACAGACACUUUCUCUCUCAUCGAGCAUUUGCAAGGAUUGAGCCAAGCUGUGCCGGGCACAGUAUCAAGGAGUUACUUGAUCCCUCUCGCCAGAAGAAACUUAUGUUGGGAGAUCAACAACAGCGAGUGCGCUUCUCAAUAAAGCCUCAACAUAUAGGACAGAUUUCACAAGCCCACAGGCUACUGGGGAAGCUUCAUGUGCGCUGCAGUCAGAGGCCACCUCUUUCUUUGUGGGCCGGAUGGGUCCUCGAGUGUAUCCUUCAUGUCACUUACUUUUAUACUGGCUGUUCAUCAUCUGCCUAA